AAAAGGUCAUUGGUAGUACUGAUCAAGAGCAGAAGCGACAAGAAAGAUGUGGUGGACGGAUCUUUGAAAGUCCACAAGGUCUCAGAGGUGUUCGAAAAACUGACAGGGAUAACUCCGUUGUACGUGACAAGCGCCUCUAGCGAUGCU
rnacentral:rRNA from 14 species